AACCUGAAUAAUCUCACGGUGAUUAGCUGUUCAGCAAGCGGUGAUUAGCUGUUCAAACCGGUUUGCCACGCUGAGGUUUCUAAUCAUUGAAAAAAAUCCAAGCGCCAUUGAAGUCAAAUUGUCUUCUUGGAGGCUGCGAUCCUCGCCAUAGAGAGCCUUCUUACAGUGUAAAUGCUGUUCAACCCGUCGAGCAGAAGAUCCAGACCGCAAAUCUAACAAGGCCGUAAAGCCAUAUCAGUCUCCACCAUUUGUCAAGGAAUUUGUAUCUA